rnacentral:rRNA from 1 species
CGAACGCUGGCGGCGCGCCUAACACAUGCAAGUCGAACGAGAGAUGAGGAGCUUGCUCUUCAGAUCGAGUGGCGAACGGGUGAGUAACGCGUGAGGAACCUGCCUCAAAGAGGGGGACAACAGUUGGAAACGACUGCUAAUACCGCAUAAGCCCACGGCUCGGCAUCGAGCAGAGGGAAAAGGAGCAAUCCGCUUUGAGAUGGCCUCGCGUCCGAUUAGCUAGUUGGUGAGGUAAUGGCCCACCAAGGCGACGAUCGGUAGCCGGACUGAGAGGUUGAACGGCCACAUUGGGACUGAGACACGGCCCAGACUCCUACGGGAGGCAGCAGUGGGGAAUAUUGCACAAUGGGGGAAACCCUGAUGCAGCGACGCCGCGUGGAGGAAGAAGGUCUUCGGAUUGUAAACUCCUGUUGUUGAGGAAGAUAAUGACGGUACUCAACAAGGAAGUGACGGCUAACUACGUGCCAGCAGCCGCGGUAAAACGUAGGUCACAAGCGUUGUCCGGAAUUACUGGGUGUAAAGGGAGCGCAGGCGGGAGAACAAGUUGGAAGCGAAAUCCAUGGGCUCAACCCAUGAACUGCUUUCAAAACUGUUUUUCUUGAGUAGUGCAGAGGUAGGCGGAAUUCCCGGUGUAGCGGUGGAAUGCGUAGAUAUCGGGAGGAACACCAGUGGCGAAGGCGGCCUACUGGGCACCAACUGACGCUGAGGCUCGAAAGUGUGGGUAGCAAACAGGAUUAGAUACCCUGGUAGUCCACACCGUAAACGAUGAUUACUAGGUGUUGGAGGAUUGACCCCUUCAGUGCCGCAGUUAACACAAUAAGUAAUCCACCUGGGGAGUACGACCGCAAGGUU